CCUACGGGAGGCAGCAGUGGGGAAUUUUGGACAAUGGGCGCAAGCCUGAUCCAGCCAUGCCGCGUGAGUGAAGAAGGCCUUCGGGUUGUAAAGCUCUUUCGGUGGGGAAGAAAUGGUUUCGGUUAAUACCCGGAGCUGAUGACGGUACCCGCAGAAGAAGCACCGGCU
rnacentral:rRNA from 1 species